AUAAAAAACCAACGCCCUUCGGGGCUCCUUGGUGAAUCAUAAUAACUUAACGAAUCGCAUGGCCUUGCGCCGGCGAUGGUUCAUUCAAAUUUCUGCCCUAUCAACUUUCGAUGGUAGGAUAGUGGCCUACCAUGGUGGCAACGGGUAACGGGGUAUUAGGGUUCGAUUCCGGAGAGGGAGCCUGAGGAACGGCUACCACAUCCAAGGAAGGCAGCAGGCGCGCAAAUUACCCAAUCCCGAUACGGGGAGGUAGUGACAAUAAAUACUGAUACGGGGCUCUUUUGGGUCUCGUAAUUGGAAUGAGAACAAUUUAAAUCCCUUAACGAGGAACAAUUGGAGGGCAAGUCUGGUGCCAGCAGCCGCGGUAAUUCCAGCUCCAAUAGCGUAUAUUAAAGUUGUUGCAGUUAAAAAGCUCGUAGUUGAACCUUGGCUCUGGCUGGCCGGUCCGCCUCACCGCGAGUACUGGUCCGGCUGGAGCUUUCCUUCUGGGGAACCUCAUGGCCUUCACUGGCUGUGG
rnacentral:rRNA from 1 species